rnacentral:misc_RNA from 1 species
GCUAUUCUUAGUACUGCGGUUAUUUUUGGGAUGUUGAUAGCGUUGCCAAUUACAUUAGUGUACUACAUUAUUCUUGGAUUAUAAGAAUAUAUGCCAAGUGAAGAAAGGAGGAAAAAAAUAGUGGGAAUCAUUAAUGGUUUAAUCAAUUCAUGGGAUGAGAAUUAAUUAAAAUUACUCAUGAAAAUUCCCAGAUAUUUGGAGCAUUAGGACAAGAAAUUUGACUUAAAUUAGUUUUUGAAGCCUCCAUUUGAAGAAAAAAAA